GAUAGCUCUCUUAUCAGAACAGCUGCAAAACAGUCACUGAAACCAAGGACAGAUGUACAGGAAUCCUCAUGUGUGUGCGCGGGAAUCGAGGGCUUCUGCAGGAGAUAAAGCACAUGGAGUUGCAGAAGUGCCUGACAAUAAUCACUGCCAAUCUGCAGAAAUGGGGCAGCUUCAACUCCACUUCCCCUUACCAGCCUUCCACCGCUCAUGUCGCUCCCUGCUGGGGUGGUGCUUGUCCCAGAUUCCAUGUCACCUUGUGUUGCCCUGCUUAUCGGAGAGAGAACACGGUUUUACAUGGAAAUUAUCUCACCACCCAGUCCCAUGUACAUCUGAGUGUAAAUCCAAUGGAAUCUGGUGAAAUUUACC